GGUUAUGGGUUUAGGUGUAGGGUUUAGGGUUAUGGGUUUAGGUGUAGGGUUUAGGGUUAUGGUUUAGGUGUAGGGUUUAGGGUUAUGGGUUUAGGUGUAGGGUUUAGGGUUAUGGGUUUAGGUGUAGGGUUUAGGGUUAUGGUUUAGGUGUAGGGUUUAGGGUUAUGGUUAAGGUGUAGGGUUUAGGGUUAUGGUUAAGGUUAGGGUUUAGGGUUGUGGGUUUAGGUUUAGGGUUAUGGUUUAGGUGUAGGGUUUAGGGUUAUGGGUUUAGGUGUAGGGUUUAGGGUUAUGGGUUUAGGUGUAGGGUUUAGGGUUAUGGUUUAGGUGUAGGGUUUAGGGUUAUGGUUAAGGUUAGGGUUUAGGGUUAUGGGUUUAGGUGUAGGGUUUAGGGUUAUGGUUUAGGUGUAGGGUUUAGGGUUAUGGGUUUAGGUGUAGGGUUUAGGGUUAUGGUUAAGGUUAGGGUUUAGGGUUAUGGGUUUAGGUGUAGGGUUUAGGGUUAUGGUUAAGGUGUAGGGUUUAGGGGUUUUGGUUUAGGUGUAGGGUUUAGGGUUAUGGUUUAGGUGUAGGGUUUAGGGUUAUGGUUUAGGGUUUAGGUUUU
ensembl:lncRNA